UCAGGCCGUGAGGUCUCUAACCGGGGUCGGUUUAAUCCCUCACUGGCCGAGGGCCGUGCGCUGCCGACCACCGACACGCAUCGUGACUUGUUCCGCUCGAUAUAUCACAGCGUGACAACAGAUCACGACAGUUGUCUUGGGAGAGCGGGCUCCGACGGGAGCAAGAAUGCUCAGGAUGCCCAACUACGUGCUAAAAUUGACCAGGGUGGUGCUGAGCCACAAGCUCAGGGCUCUGUUUAUCCUCACCUUUAAGUUAAUGUCCUUUGCCUCCAUCAUGUUGUACUGGAGAAUCACAGAGGACCCUAAGGGCAGGGGCCAGGUCUACAGUUUGCCUGUUGAGAUCCACUGUGCUCACUCUGUGCCUUCUCCUCCCCACGCCAUUGCUGGUGGACCCUCUCCUUCCCCAGGGGAUGUGUUUUUUGUGGAGACCUCGGAGCGAACUGACCCAAGUUACCUGUUCACAUGCUCUGUGGAGUCAGCAGCCAGGACGCACCCUGGGACAAGGGUCGUGGUGCUCAUGAAAGGUUUGCCUAGUGGGAACGCCUCAUUACCCAACCACUGGGGCUUCUCGUUGCUGAGCUGCUUCCCCAACGUGGAAAUCCGGCCCCUGGACUUGACGGAGCUUUUCUCUGGAACACCUCUGGCAAAGUGGUACUUGCAGGCUCAGCAGCGCUGGGAGCCUUAUUUCUUACCCAUCCUGUCUGAUGCCUGCAGAAUCGCCAUCAUGUGGAAAUUUGGUGGCAUCUACCUGGACACAGACUUCAUUGUGCUUAAGAACUUAAAGAACCUCACCAAUGUGCUUGGUACCCAGUCCAAGUAUGUACUGAACGGGGCCUUUCUGUCCUUUAAGCCCAAACACAAGUUCAUAGAGCUUUGCAUGCAGGACUUUGUGGAUAACUACAACAGCUGGAUCUGGGGGCACCAGGGCCCACAGCUCCUAACACGUGUCUUCAAGAAGUGGUGCUCCAUCAGGAGUCUUCGGAGCAGUACGAGCUGCAAAGGAGUGAGUGCUCUGCCCCGUGAGGCUUUUUAUCCCAUUCGGUGGCAGGACUGGAAGAAAUACUUUGAAGUGGUCAGCUCCUCGGAGCUUCACCACCUCUUUAAUAACACCUACGCGGUACACGUAUGGAACAAGAAGAGCCAAGGGACAAGGCUAGAGAUCACAUCCCAGGCUUUGCUGGCUCAACUGCAUUCUCACUUCUGCCCUGCCACGUACGACAUCAUGAAGAAGGACUCUGGACAGCAGUGACUCAAGCGUCAGCUAAAAGAUGUUGCCCAGGAGCCCACAACUCUCCAGCUGUUCCAUCACAAAUGAACCUCCUUUUGAAAAGGAAUAGGAAGCCUGCUAGAGAGGCAGAAGGUCAGGAGGAGAUGAGAGAUUGAAAGGGAGUUCAGAGAUCAGUUUGAAGCAAACCAAACCUAAUUUCUGCAUCUGGCUACAGG